GGUUCGCUCGACUAGCGGUCUAGGUCGCCGCCCUCUCAAGGCGGAAACGCAUGUUCGAAUCAUGCGCGAAUCACCA
rnacentral:tRNA from 1 species